CUUUGGUGGUCGGCUGUGCUGGUAAAUCACUUGGGUGGAGGUAGCCAAAACAUGGGUGGAGCGGUGCUGGGCCAACGUGGGCAGUAGCUGUUGGUUCCAUGAGAAUUGGUCAGAACGGUGGCUCCUCCCGUGGAAUAAUCGAGAUGGCCCAUCCUAUUCUUCUCUCCCCAAUCUCCACCAUGUCUUGUAUCGUCCAAUGAAUAUCUCCACACAAUUUCUACAACUUGAGUGGAGGUCGUCGGCGAUGAGACGUCCAGCCAUGUUCAUCCCGGACCUGGCCGCCCCUACCGCUCCAUGCUCGAGUUCCCUCCUCGACGCAGCAACUCAUCCUUCCGACGAACAGCUGCCGCCAUGCUCCCCGCCGCCUCUGGCCGGCGCGGCUCCCCAAGUACGAAUAUGCCUUGCUCCUGUCUCCGGCCACUUCUCGCAGGCGGGAGCCUCACCAGCACACCGCUCAGCCCCUUCUCCACUCGUUUGACGCCACCUGCGCGCGGAUGCACCGCCGCCGUCUCCGGGCUCUACCUCCGCGUCCAUGCAAAAAAUUGUGGUGCCAUGUAGUUCCAGCUGCUGGAUAUGGUUCACCCUCGAGUGGUGCAGAUACACAAGGUUAUUAAGAGAGUUUUGAUGUCUCACGUUGGGUUUAGAGUUCGGUGCCUUAGAUCACCAUGAUGCCUAUUUCUGGGGUGUUCUGUACGUGGUCUUGAUGCAAAGACAGAGAACAAUAUGGUCCGUAACUACAAGGUUCUCUAGGAUGUCUUCAACAAGCUGGAGACAAGAAAGAGAGCCCUUUUGUAGAAGGAUAGAACUGAUAUCUAAGCAACUCAGAUGUUUUUAGAGUCCAGUGAAGAGUGCUUCUCUUCCUAGAUUUCCCUGCCGAGCAAUGGUCAUGAUUUCACCACAAAGCUGAACUUCUAGGCGUGAUAAGGUACUUCCCUAGGAAGGCUACAGGGGUUACAAACAGGUCAUUCAGCGAACUGCUCUCGAGACAUCUUACUUCCUUAAAAAUGAUUGCUUGAAGAUAUAUUGCACUCUAGGUAUUGUUGUGUCAACUAUUGAUUACUCCAGGCCACACUCCAUUCAGGUACCAAACUUCAACAUUACCUACCGGUAAGGCAUCAUCAUUUAGCGUUGGCAAGGAGCGCCAUAUAUGUUUAAGUGCAGUUGCUCUCAAAAAAUCCAUAUAUGUUCAAAUGCAGAUCCUCUCAAAAAAAUCAGUAGGUAUAUAUAGUGCCGUAUGCUAUUCUUAUGUUUUAGUCUGGCAUGUAUGUGGAUCCAGAAUUAGAGCAGACUGCAUCUAUGUGUGGUUUAUUAUAUGCGUAGCAUUGGAUGUUUGUAGUUCAUAGUCUUGAUCAGAUUUGACAAUUAAUUAUUCUUACAUGCUAUGAAAUUUGAAAUCUAACUGUGUUAUAUCAAAUCCAAGGACCAAUGCAGUAUGCGGAAGAAAAGAAUCAUGCAUCAGUUGACCUUGGUACUAAGCAGCAAGAGGUAGAGAGAGGUAACCCAAUCAGGAAGAAAAGAAUCAUGCCGAUUUGCAAACGAAUCAUGCAUCAGUUGAGCUUAGUACUAAACACAUAAAGUAAAUUUUGUACAUGCCGGUUUGAAAAAGUAUAAAGGAAACACGUGCAGUAAAUUUUGUACAUGCCAGUUUGCAAAAGUUUUAGUACUGAUGGUAACCCAAUCUGGCCUAUUUUGUUCUCUUAAGCAAUUAGAGAGUUUGGAAGCACAUCUAGCUAGCUUAGGUUUCCACGAAAAUGAUCCAGUCACCGUGGGUAUUAAUUCCAGCGGAGGGUUCCCUUUGUGCAUCAUUAUAUCACAUAUAAGUUAUGCAUUGUGUCUAAGGUAUGCCACUGAAAUGUUUUCAAGCAUUAUCAUUUUAUAACAUGAUUUGGCAUGGUACAAGACACUUCUUUCCCUAACGGUAAAACAAUAGUGUGAAUGUCAUUGUUUCAGUUGUAGGUGAGGCAUUGCACGACUUGAUCCUUUAUCACCUUGGUUAUGUAUAUUUUCUCUUUUGUUUCUCCUUUCUUCAUAUUUUUCCUCUUCUCUAUUUAUUUAUCAAAUCAAGUUGUUUCAGUUCUUAACUUUCAUUUAGAUUAAGCAAAAUACAUCUUCUCACCGCAUUGUCUAGCUUGUGAUUUUGAUUUAUGAGUAUCGAUGCUAAAACUGUUGGAAGAAUAAUCAUGCAAACGUCCAUGCUGAAAGAUUUCUCACCUCCAUGAUGCCAAUAAUGUGUUGUUUGCAUGAAUACAUGGUUCAAACAACUCAACAACAGCCAUACAAUCUAGACAUUAUUGUCGAUGACCAAGAGGUAUCUUCUGAAAACUAGAACCUUGGCUUGCUUAUUGUCAAAAACAAUAUGUAACCAUCUACAUCUUCACUUGGUUAUUUAUAAUAAUUCAGCUUUAUGCAUCCUACUUUCUGUGCCAUGCUAUCAUAAUAAAAUAAGCUAACUUUAUCCUCAUUUUAUUAUAGGCAUGCAACACUCUAUCCAUGUCCAAACAGAGGCCAAGUUAAUAACGUCAUAUGCCUCCGCACUACACUUGCGAAUUGUAUUUCUACAUUGUUUCUAGAUACCCUAUUUCCAUGAAAUGGUUGGGGCCUUGAUUUGAAUAGGCGAGCUCAUGCUAGAGACCAAAGAAAAAAUCACAUAUCAGGCAUACCCUGAGGAGUCGGUCCAGUUGAAACUUAGAUACCAAAGCCAUGCAAGCCGUCUAUGCUUCCUACCAGAAAGAAGUAGACACAGAAGGAAGGAGAGCGUCUUCUCGACUGGAUAGAUGUCAGCUGCCCAAAUGAUGCCGAAGCCGAGCCUUCCUCAAGGAGGUCACAUGUGGUGAUGUUCCUUAACAUAAUAGGCAAAUGCAUGGAAAUCAUCGUCCUAUCCCUUGAUUGCAAGGACAACUUGACAAGUACUCAUGGUUUUGCAAGUAGAAAGAAUCAAAUAAUCAUCC